UGGAAAUAGAAAAACUUGAUUGCGAAAUGUAAACUCAGAAUUCAGAGAAAAAAGUCAGAAUUACGAGAUAGCAGCUAAAAAUUGUAAAAUGAAAAGUCAGAAUUACUUUUUACUUAUAAAUUCAGAAUUCCGAGAUUAAAAACUUGCAAUUCUAGCUCACAGUUUUGAGAAACCAAAGUUUGGCAAGAAAAAGUCGCAAUUAAUUUUUCUUUUUCAGAAAUGGGCUUCCAUACUAUUUGUAUCAAUACUUUUUUUUAUUAUUAAUUAAAAAUUAUUAGAAUAUAAGUAAAUAUGAUAAAAUAUAAAACAUUAAUUAAUAGAAUAUAAGUAUAUUUUGGCUUUAAUCAGCAUUUUUAUACCCUAUAAUAAAUGUAUUUUUACACCAAGUUUGUUCUGAUUCAUUCUGGUAUUGUUUUUUCUAUUCGUGCAAUUUUGCAUUCUAUUCAAAAGCUUGAAUUUUCAAGUGCAACAGAAUGGCACAUUCACACAUAAAUUACUUUUAUUAAAAAUGCAUCUAUGAAUGAAGCUACAUGAAGAUAAAACCUGAUUGCAUAGCAUUUUUAUCCUCAAUUUGGGAAAAUUUUGCUGAGAAGCAUCUGCAAACUUAACAUUAGCAUUAUGAUCUUGUGCCCUUUUUACAUCAUCUUCCAAGCAUCAGGCAACAGAAUACCAAAACAAGGUAUCUUAAAAGCAUCUCAAAAUACUAUCUAGGUAGGCAGCUCACUAUGGAGCACAGGCUAACAUGACAGCUUCAUAAAUGACUAAGCUUGACUGAAAUGCUUCUUUGUGCCUUUUGUCACCUAAACCCCCAGAAUGCAUUGGGGCAAGGGAGUGAGGCGAUAAGUGUGAGGCAAAGAUGCAUUUGCUCCGCAGAAGUGGCCACGGUGCAGAUGUUGCAGGUUAUUUCCGUGAAGUUUCAUCAUGAUGCUGGGACACUGAACUCUGAAUUGUUCAUGCCGUUGAUUUCAAACCGUUAUUUGGCUAUCCUUGGAUCCUCAAACAGCCCAGCAAGAGCUUGUGCCUCUGUCCUAAAGACUUUAAGGCUUCCAGCUGUCAUUACUUUCUCUAAAACCAACCAAUGGACCAUUGAGAGCCAAGCCAGCACUAACCGGUAUUUUUGGACAGUGGAAGCUCUGAGUUGCCACCGAACGAGGGUUAAACCCAUCAAAGUCACUGACGAGUAAGAACAAGGUGGGCAGAGCUACUGAGGAGUGUAUUGAUACAUUCGGGGGUUUCUGAGUGACUUAGGACGAGGGGUCUCACACUCUGGACUGCACAAAUUAAGGAUGAAUAAAGAACACAGAGGGGGACGCUGCCUGGUGGGACAGGAAGUAGAGACGCAGAGGGGAGCAACUUCACCUGCUGAUCACCUUCAGUCUGACCAGUGGAACUGGCCUCUGAUUGGACAUGUCUGAUAGCCCAUCCAAUUGAUGGGAAUGGGAGAGAGAGAAAGGAAGAGGAACCUGAUGACAGUUCCCUGCAGAGAUGAAACUCCUCAGAAGCGCUCAGAGAGAAGAUGACACUUCAUACCACAUCAUUUGAUAGGAUUCAGAGAGGGUUAUGGAUCCUGUCCAACA
ensembl:lncRNA